rnacentral:rRNA from 1 species
CCUACGGGAGGCAGCAGUGAGGAAUAUUGGUCAAUGGGCGAGAGCCUGAACCAGCCAAGUCGCGUGAAGGAUGACGGCCCUACGGGUUGUAAACUUCUUUUGUCAGGGAGCAAUUGGGUCCACGCGUGGGCUUAGCGAGAGUACCUGAAGAAAAAGCAUCGGCUAACUCCGUGCCAGCAGCCGCGGUAAUACGGAGGAUGCGAGCGUUAUCCGGAUUUAUUGGGUUUAAAGGGUGCGUAGGCGGAAUACUCAGUCAGCGGUAAAGAUUCGGGGCUCAACCCCGUCGUGCCGUUGAAACUGGUGUUCUUGAGUGGGCGAGAAGUAUGCGGAAUGCGUGGUGUAGCGGUGAAAUGCAUAGAUAUCACGCAGAACUCCGAUUGCGAAGGCAGCAUACCGGCGCCCAACUGACGCUGAAGCACGAAAGCGUGGGUAUCGAACAGGAUUAGAUACCCUUGUAGUC